GUUCUACUGGUACAGUAAUAUGUACUGUACUUUCAUAAUGAGAAGGAUCUAUCACUAAAACCAUUCAAAUGUUUUACAGAACUGCAAGAAAACCAGUAUCUGGAAGGAAGAGGUCGACAGAGCAGGAGACCCACGUUGUAAAGAUGGUCAUUGCAAAUAACUGCAUCAGACUAAGAGAGCUACAGUACCCCAUAAUGGCAGAUAACACAAUAUUCCAAAACGUCAACAGAGUGAGUCUCGCUGCACUGUCUCGUCUACUGAAACGCAAUAGAAUUAGGAUGAAGCAGCUGUACAGAGUCCCUUUCGAAAGAAACUCAGACCGUGUAAAUCAACUGAGAUAUGAAUAUGUGCAGAGAGUCAUGGAGCUAGAAGCAGAUGCAGUGCAUCAUGAGCUAAUAUAUGUGGACGAGGCAGGUUCAACCUUGCAAAAACAAGGGGCCGCGGCAGAAAUAUCAUCGGACACCGCGCCAUCAUUAACGUCCCGGGACAACUUGGUGGCAACAACAAUGUGUACAGCUAUUAGUCAAAACGGCGUCCUUCACCAUCAUGCAAUCCUAGGCCCAUACAACACCGCACACAUUAUCACAUUUCUGGACACUCUCCACAACAGACUAAUCCCUGAUGACCAGGGGCCAGAGCAGCCCAGGACCUGAGCCCUAGGACCAUGCCUCAGGACUACCUGGCAUGAUGACUCCUUGCUGUCCCCAGUUCACCUGGCCGUGCUGCUGCUCCAGUUUCAACUGUUCUGCCUGUGGCUAUGGAACCCUGACCUGUUCACUGGACGUGCU
ensembl:lncRNA